CAACGCCGCGUGAGUGAAGAAGGUUUUCGGAUCGUAAAGCUCUGUUGUUAGAGAAGAACGUUGGUAGGAGUGGAAAAUCUACCAAGUGACGGUAACUAACCAGAAAGGGACGGCUAACUACGUGCCAGCAGCCGCGGUAAUACGUAGGUCCCGAGCGUUGUCCGGAUUUAUUGGGCGUAAAGCGAGCGCAGGCGGUUCUUUAAGUCUGAAGUUAAAGGCAGUGGCUUAACCAUUGUACGCUUUGGAAACUGGAGGACUUGAGUGCAGAAGGGGAGAGUGGAAUUCCAUGU
rnacentral:rRNA from 1 species